UACGGGGGGGGCAAGCGUUGUUCGGAAUUACUGGGCGUAAAGGGCUCGUAGGUGGCUAACUAAGUCAGACGUGAAAUCCCUCAGCUUAACUGGGGAACUGCGUCUGAUACUGGAUGGCUUGAGAUUGGGAGAGGGAUGCGGAAUUCCAGGUGUAGCGGUGAAAUGCGUAGAUAUCUGGAGGAACACCGGUGGCGAAGGCGGCAUCCUGGACCAACACUGACACUGAGGAGCGAAAGCCAGGGGAGCAAACGGG
rnacentral:rRNA from 1 species